rnacentral:rRNA from 1 species
AGUCGAACGGAGCUUAGAGAGCUUGCUUUUUAAGCUUAGUGGCGAACGGGUGAGUAACGCGUGAGUAACCUGCCCUAGAGUGGGGGACAACAGUUGGAAACGACUGCUAAUACCGCAUAAGCCCACGGUACCGCAUGGUACUGAGGGAAAAGGAUUUAUUCGCUUUAGGAUGGACUCGCGUCCAAUUAGCUAGUUGGUGAGGUAACGGCCCACCAAGGCGACGAUUGGUAGCCGGACUGAGAGGUUGAACGGCCACAUUGGGACUGAGACACGGCCCAGACUCCUACGGGAGGCAGCAGUGGGGGAUAUUGCACAAUGGGGGAAACCCUGAUGCAGCGACGCCGCGUGGAGGAAGAAGGUUUUCGGAUUGUAAACUCCUGUCGUUAGGGACGAUAAUGACGGUACCUAACAAGAAAGCACCGGCUAACUACGUGCCAGCAGCCGCGGUAAAACGUAGGGUGCAAGCGUUGUCCGGAAUUACUGGGUGUAAAGGGAGCGCAGGCGGGAAGACAAGUUGGAAGUGAAAACCAUGGGCUCAACCCAUGAAUUGCUUUCAAAACUGUUUUUCUUGAGUAGUGCAGAGGUAGAUGGAAUUCCCGGUGUAGCGGUGGAAUGCGUAGAUAUCGGGAGGAACACCAGUGGCGAAGGCGGUCUACUGGGCACCAACUGACGCUGAGGCUCGAAAGCAUGGGUAGCAAACAGGAUUAGAUACCCUGGUAGUCCAUGCCGUAAACGAUGAUUACUAGGUGUUGGGGGAUUGACCCCCUCAGUGCCGCAGUUAACACAAUAAGUAAUCCACCUGGGG